rnacentral:rRNA from 2 species
UUAAGCGACUAAGCGUACACGGUGGAUGCCCUGGCAGUCAGAGGCGAUGAAGGACGUGCUAAUCUGCGAUAAGCGUCGGUGAGGUGAUAUGAACCGUUAUAACCGGCGAUUUCCGAAUGGGGAAACCCAGUGUGAUUCGACACACUAUCAUUAACUGAAUCCAUAGGUUAAUGAGGCGAACCGGGGGAACUGAAACAUCUAAGUACCCCGAGGAAAAGAAAUCAACCGAGAUUCCCCCAGUAGCGGCGAGCGAACGGGGAGGAGCCCAGAGCCUGAAUCAGUGUGUGUGUUAGUGGAAGCGUCUGGAAAGGCGCGCGAUACAGGGUGACAGCCCCGUACACAAAAAUGCACAUACUGUGAGCUCGAUGAGUAGGGCGGGACACGUGGUAUCCUGUCUGAAUAUGGGGGGACCAUCCUCCAAGGCUAAAUACUCCUGACUGACCGAUAGUGAACCAGUACCGUGAGGGAAAGGCGAAAAGAACCCCGGCGAGGGGAGUGAAAAAGAACCUGAAACCGUGUACGUACAAGCAGUGGGAGCCUCUUAAUGGGGUGACUGCGUACCUUUUGUAUAAUGGGUCAGCGACUUAUAUUCUGUAGCAAGGUUAACCGAAUAGGGGAGCCGAAGGGAAACCGAGUCUUAACUGGGCGUUAAGUUGCAGGGUAUAGACCCGAAACCCGGUGAUCUAGCCAUGGGCAGGUUGAAGGUUGGGUAACACUAACUGGAGGACCGAACCGACUAAUGUUGAAAAAUUAGCGGAUGACUUGUGGCUGGGGGUGAAAGGCCAAUCAAACCGGGAGAUAGCUGGUUCUCCCCGAAAGCUAUUUAGGUAGCGCCUCGUGAAUUCAUCUCCGGGGGUAGAGCACUGUUUCGGCAAGGGGGUCAUCCCGACUUACCAACCCGAUGCAAACUGCGAAUACCGGAGAAUGUUAUCACGGGAGACACACGGCGGGUGCUAACGUCCGUCGUGAAGAGGGAAACAACCCAGACCGCCAGCUAAGGUCCCAAAGUCAUGGUUAAGUGGGAAACGAUGUGGGAAGGCCCAGACAGCCAGGAUGUUGGCUUAGAAGCAGCCAUCAUUUAAAGAAAGCGUAAUAGCUCACUGGUCGAGUCGGCCUGCGCGGAAGAUGUAACGGGGCUAAACCAUGCACCGAAGCUGCGGCAGCGACACUAUGUGUUGUUGGGUAGGGGAGCGUUCUGUAAGCCUGUGAAGGUGUACUGUGAGGUAUGCUGGAGGUAUCAGAAGUGCGAAUGCUGACAUAAGUAACGAUAAAGCGGGUGAAAAGCCCGCUCGCCGGAAGACCAAGGGUUCCUGUCCAACGUUAAUCGGGGCAGGGUGAGUCGACCCCUAAGGCGAGGCCGAAAGGCGUAGUCGAUGGGAAACAGGUUAAUAUUCCUGUACUUGGUGUUACUGCGAAGGGGGGACGGAGAAGGCUAUGUUGGCCGGGCGACGGUUGUCCCGGUUUAAGCGUGUAGGCUGGUUUUCCAGGCAAAUCCGGAAAACCAAGGCUGAGGCGUGAUGACGAGGCACUACGGUGCUGAAGCGACAAAUGCCCUGCUUCCAGGAAAAGCCUCUAAGCAUCAGGUAACAUCAAAUCGUACCCCAAACCGACACAGGUGGUCAGGUAGAGAAUACCAAGGCGCUUGAGAGAACUCGGGUGAAGGAACUAGGCAAAAUGGUGCCGUAACUUCGGGAGAAGGCACGCUGAUAUGUAGGUGAAGCGACUUGCUCGUGGAGCUGAAAUCAGUCGAAGAUACCAGCUGGCUGCAACUGUUUAUUAAAAACACAGCACUGUGCAAACACGAAAGUGGACGUAUACGGUGUGACGCCUGCCCGGUGCCGGAAGGUUAAUUGAUGGGGUUAGCGGCAACGCGAAGCUCUUGAUCGAAGCCCCGGUAAACGGCGGCCGUAACUAUAACGGUCCUAAGGUAGCGAAAUUCCUUGUCGGGUAAGUUCCGACCUGCACGAAUGGCGUAAUGAUGGCCAGGCUGUCUCCACCCGAGACUCAGUGAAAUUGAACUCGCUGUGAAGAUGCAGUGUACCCGCGGCAAGACGGAAAGACCCCGUGAACCUUUACUAUAGCUUGACACUGAACAUUGAGCCUUGAUGUGUAGGAUAGGUGGGAGGCUUUGAAGUGUGGACGCCAGUCUGCAUGGAGCCGACCUUGAAAUACCACCCUUUAAUGUUUGAUGUUCUAACGUGGGCCCGUAAUCCGGGUUGCGGACAGUGUCUGGUGGGUAGUUUGACUGGGGCGGUCUCCUCCUAAAGAGUAACGGAGGAGCACGAAGGUUGGCUAAUCCUGGUCGGACAUCAGGAGGUUAGUGCAAUGGCAUAAGCCAGCUUGACUGCGAGCGUGACGGCGCGAGCAGGUGCGAAAGCAGGUCAUAGUGAUCCGGUGGUUCUGAAUGGAAGGGCCAUCGCUCAACGGAUAAAAGGUACUCCGGGGAUAACAGGCUGAUACCGCCCAAGAGUUCAUAUCGACGGCGGUGUUUGGCACCUCGAUGUCGGCUCAUCACAUCCUGGGGCUGAAGUAGGUCCCAAGGGUAUGGCUGUUCGCCAUUUAAAGUGGUACGCGAGCUGGGUUUAGAACGUCGUGAGACAGUUCGGUCCCUAUCUGCCGUGGGCGCUGGAGAACUGAGGGGGGCUGCUCCUAGUACGAGAGGACCGGAGUGGACGCAUCACUGGUGUUCGGGUUGUCAUGCCAAUGGCACUGCCCGGUAGCUAAAUGCGGAAGAGAUAAGUGCUGAAAGCAUCUAAGCACGAAACUUGCCCCGAGAUGAGUUCUCCCUGAGCCUUUAAGGGUCCUGAAGGAACGUUGAAGACGACGACGUUGAUAGGCCGGGUGUGUAAGCGCAGCGAUGCGUUGAGCUAACCGGUACUAAUGAACCGUGAGGCUUAACCUU